rnacentral:rRNA from 1 species
CGUAGGCGGCCUUUCAAGUCGGAUGUGAAAUCCCCCGGCUCAACCGGGGAAUUGCGUCCGAUACUGUUGGGCUUGAGUACAGGAUGAGAGAGCGGAAUUCCCAGUGUAGCGGUGAAAUGCGUAGAUACUGGGAGGAACACCGGUGGCGAAAGCGGCUCUCUGGCCUGAUACUGACGCUGAGGCACGAAAGCUAGGGUAGCAAACG